AGUUCAGGCUCCCUGGUGCCCUCUGGCGCUGGGGUGGAAGAUGGGUUUGUAAGCGCUGGCGUCAGUGCUGGCAACGGUUCUGGUGCUGGUUGCUUUUCCAGUUCUGGUUCUGGGACUGGAGGCACUG